GAGCUGAGAUACGCUGGACUGGGUCGAGAGGCUCUGGUCUGGGUUAGGUAGAUAGGAUGAGACAGUGACUGGGCAGGGGGCCUGCUGUGGGCACAUGCCGCCACAACAGGGGCCAAGGCAGCCAUGACCAAUGGUUUUGAGAGAACCAUGGCAAAGCGGGGGUGACGGGCACCUGAGCCGGGAGGUACCAGAGGGUACGAUGGCCAAGCUGCUCACAGGGACAGAGAUGGACAGAGGGCAGACUGAGACAAAGGAUAAGGGACCUGUCCUGAAAAUGCCUGUCCACUGGGAUCCAUUUUGUGCUGUGUGUAACCCCACCCAGUGCAUAGGGACACGUACACAUGCUCACACAUAGGCGUUUGUGCAUAAGUAGGCACAACACACAUUCAUACCCUCCACCCACACACUGUUCCCCAAAAGAGCCUAUGUUGACCUCUGAACUGGGGUGUGUGUGUCUCUCUCUCUCUCUCUCUCUCUCUCUCUCAGCAGGAUCUUGAUCAUCCACCACUCCGUCCUUGUGUUCCUCAGUCCCUCUGCUGAAAAAAGGCCUCACGCCACCACUGGCCUCGGAAACACACAACAUAUUUUGAACACACACAGCCUUUAAACACACAGCCAGCAGGGACAUUCACGGCUUCAGAAAGGACGCCUUAACCGAAAGGUACUCUGAAUGUAUGGAUGCUGGAAUGUUUAUCGCUUCCCACGUGUGCUCGUGCUCAUAUAUGUGCGUCCUUGUGCUUGUGGUAGCAGUGUAUGAGAUACAAAACAGAACAGCAAAACUCAAUUCAUAUGGCAAUAAUGUUUUGAAGAAAUACCUCAUUUACUUAGGUUUGCUAAAGGACUACAUCAUGAUUCCUUCAUUGUGAAAUGCAAUAUGUUUCAAACCAUCAAGACUCUUUCUAGAGGUGUGGCCAAUCUCAGUAAAUGCCAUAAGAAGCUUGGUCAGGAGAAGAUAAACCCAAUGACUUCAAUGAUUCUGAGAGCAUGAUGCGACAACAAAAUAAUUUGGUCUGAAUGCCAAGUGAACAUUGGUGCUAUUGUGUACUAUCAGUGCUAUAAAGAUAAGGAAUACCAUCCCCACAGUGAAUCGCAUUGGUUGCAGCAUCAUGCUGUAGGCACGGCUGUCAGCAGCAGGGACUGGGAGACUGGUCAAGACUAGAGUGGGAGCAGGCCAAGUGUCCUUGAGUAGCCCUGCCAAAAUCCCAGUGUUGUGCUUUAUUUGUACAAAACAAUAAAAGAUUGUGUGAAAA